rnacentral:rRNA from 1 species
GAGUUUGAUCGUGGCUCAGGAUGAACGCUGGCGGCGUGCUUAACACAUGCAAGUCGAACGGGAAACAUUUUAUUGAAGCUUCGGCAGAUUUAGCUUGUUUCCAGUGGCGGACGGGUGAGUAACGCGUGGGUAACCUGCCUCACACUGGGGGAUAACAGUCAGAAAUGACUGCUAAUACCGCAUAAGCGCACGGGACCGCAUGGUUUUGUGUGAAAAAACUCCGGUGGUGUGAGAUGGACCCCGCGU